GAGUUUGAUCCUGGCUCAGAACGAACGCUGGUAGCGUGGAUUAGGCAUGCAAGUCGAACGGGAUCGCCCGAUUAGCAAUAACCGGGCGUGAGAGUGGCGGAUUGGGGAGGAACACGUGAGCAACCUGUCCUUGGGUUGGGGAAAACCGCGGGAAACUGCGGCUAAUACCGGAUGCGGCGCCUGGAGACAUCUCCGGAGCGCUAAAGGGGGCCGCAAGGUCUCGCCCAUCGAGGGGCUCGCGCACCAUCAGCUUGUUGGCGGGGUAACGGCCCACCAAGGCCUACGGUUAGCUGGUCUGAGAGGAUGGCCAGCCCCACUGGGACUGAGAUACUGCCCAGACUCCUACGGGAGGCUGCAGUCGAGGAUCAUUUGCAAUGGGCGAAAGCUGACAAUGCGACGCUGCGUGGAGGAUGAAGGCCUUCGGGUUGUAAACUCCUGUCAUGGGGGAACAGGCGAGGGGACCCAACACGUCCCUUAGUUGAGUGUACCCCAAGAGGAAGCGACGGCUAACUCUGUGCCAGCAGCCGCGGUAAUACAGAGGUCGCAAGCGUUGUUCGGAUUUACUGGGCGUAAAGGGCGCGUAGGCGGCAUGGCGUGUCGGAUGUGAAAUCUCCGGGCUCAACCCGGAAAGUGCGUCCGAAACUACCGUGCUGGAGUAUGGGAGAGGGAAUCGGAAUGCAGGGUGUAGCGGUGAAAUGCGUUGAUAUCCUGCAGAACACCGGAGGCGAAGGCGGAUUCCUUGAACAUCACUGACGCUGAGGCGCGAAAGUCGGGGGAGCAAACAGGAUUAGAUACCCUGGUAGUCCCGACCUUAAACGGUGCACACUAGGGGUGGGGCCAUUUCACCGGCCCCGUCCCUUAUCAACGCGUUAAUUGUGCCGCCUGGGGAGUACGGCCGCAAGGCUAAAACUCAAAGAAAUUGACGGGGGCCCGCACAAGCAGAGGAGCAUGUGGCUUAAUUCGAUGCAACGCGAAGAACCUUACCGGGAUUUGACAUGCAGCUGCACGGCCUAUGAAAGUAGGCCUCCUUCGAGGGUGCUGCACAGUUGUUGCAUGGUUGUCGUCAGUUCGUGCCGUGAGUUGUUGGGUUAAGUCCACCAACGAACGCAACCCCUUUGAUCCGUUGCCAGCGGGUAAUGCCGGGAACUCAGGUCACACUGCUAGUUUACGCUAGAGGAAGGUGGGGAUGACGUCAAGACAGAAUGGCCCUUACAUCCAGGGUGGCACACUUGCAACAUGGGCCGGAACAGAGGGAAGCGAAGCCGCGAGGCGGAGCCAACCCCAGAGAGCCGGCCCCAGUUCGGUAUGGGGGUUGGCAACCCGAACCCCUAGAAAGUCGGAUUGGCUAGUAACGGCGUAAUCAGCUACGACGCCUGAAUGCGUUCCCGGGCUUGUAACACACCGCCCGUCACAUCUGAAACCGUUGCACCCGAAGUCCGGCAUUGUCGACCUUAGUGUGGGUGUGAUGGGUGAAGUCGUAACAAGUAACC
rnacentral:rRNA from 1 species